UCCCAACCCCUGUGAAUUAUACCUUUAAUUGUUGCUUCGGCGGGACUUCGCGCCCGCCGGGGACCCAAACCUUCUGAAUUUUUUAAUAAGUAUCUUCUGAGUGGUUAAAAGAAAAUGAAUCAAAACUUUCAACAACGGAUCUCUUGGUUCUGGCAUCGAUGAAGAACGCAGCGAAAUGCGAUAAGUAAUGUGAAUUGCAGAAUUCAGUGAAUCAUCGAAUCUUUGAACGCACAUUGCGCCCGUCAGUAUUCUGGCGGGCAUGCCUGUUCGAGCGUCAUUACGCCCCUCAAGUCCCCUGUGGACUUGGUGUUGGGGAUCGGCGAGGCUGGUUUUCCAGCACAGCCGUCCCUUAAAUUGAUUGGCGGUCUCGCCGUGGCCCUCCUCUGCGCAGUAGUAAAACACUCGCAACAGGAGCCCGGCGCGGUCCACUGCCGUAAAACCCCCCAACUUUUUAUAGUUGACCUCGAAUCAGGUAGGACUACCCGCUGAACUUAAGCAUAUCAAUAAGCGGAGGAAA
rnacentral:misc_RNA from 1 species